rnacentral:rRNA from 1 species
CUGAGAAACGGCUACCACAUCCAAGGAAGGCAGCAGGCGCGCAAAUUACCCACUCCCGGCACGGGGAGGUAGUGACGAAAAAUAACGAUACGGGACUCAUCCGAGGCCCCGUAAUCGGAAUGAGAACACUUUAAAAACUUUAACGAGUACCUAAUGGAGGGCAAGUCUGGUGCCAGCAGCCGCGGUAAUUCCAGCUCCAUUGGCGUAUAUUAAAGUUGUUGCGGUUAAAAAGCUCGUAGUUGGAUCUGUGUCUCGGACGGUCGGUUCGCCGCUCGCGGCGUUUAACUGACCGGUCCGGACGUCCUGCCGGUGGGCGGUUUCUCUCUCUCUCGGGGGAGGGGGCCGCCCGUUAACCUUCCUCCGGGCUGCUCUUAACCGAGUGGCGCGGUGGGCCGGCACGUUUACUUUG